GUACACUCCUACGGGAGGCAGCAGUGGGGAAUAUUGAACAAUGGGCGCAAGCCUGAUCCAGCCAUGCCGCGUGAGUGAUGAAGGCCCUAGGGUUGUAAAGCUCUUUCACCGGAGAAGAUAAUGACGGUAUCCGGAGAAGAAGCCCCGGCUAACUUCGUGCCAGCAGCCGCGGUAAUACGAAGGGGGCUAGCGUUGUUCGGAAUUACUGGGCGUAAAGCGCACGUAGGCGGAUCGAUCAGUCAGGGGUGAAAUCCCAGGGCUCAACCCUGGAACUGCCUUUGAUACUGUCGAUCUGGAGUAUGGAAGAGGUGAGUGGAAUUCCGAGUGUAGAGGUGAAAUUCGUAGAUAUUCGGAGGAACACCAGUGGCGAAGGCGGCUCACUGGUCCAUUACUGACGCUGAGGUGCGAAAGCGUGGGGAGCAAACAGGAUUAGAUACCCUAGUAGUCCCAUG
rnacentral:rRNA from 1 species